rnacentral:rRNA from 1 species
AGCGCUCUCACACAAUCCAUCUCACCCCUUUGUGCACCACCGCGUGGGUCCCUCUCUGGUUCGUUCCCGAGGGGGGCUUGCGUUUUCACACAAACUUGAAGUAGUGUAGAAUGUGUCUUUUUGCGAUAACACGCAAUCAAUACAACUUUCAACAACGGAUCUCUUGGCUCUCGCAUCGAUGAAGAACGCAGCGAAAUGCGAUACGUAAUGUGAAUUGCAGAAUUCAGUGAAUCAUCGAAUCUUUGAACGCACCUUGCGCCCCUUGGCAUUCCGAGGGGCACACCCGUUUGAGUGUCGUGAAAUUCUCAAAACCCUUUCUUUGGUCUCUUGAUCGGGGGAAGGAUUUUGGACUUGGAGGCCUUUUGCUGGUUUCAACUUGAAGCGAGCUCCUCCCAAAUGAAUUAGUGGGGUCUGCUUUGCCGAUCCUUGGCGUGAUAAGUCGUUUCUACGUCUUGGAUUUUGGCACUGUACACCUGCUUCUAACCGUCUCAUCGACAAUGAUGGUGUUCCUGUCACCGCCGAUUCGUCGGUGGGAGGCUUGACCCACAAAAUGAACCUUUGACCUCAAAUCGGGUGAGACUACCCGCUGAACUUAAGCAUAUCAAAAGCCCGGAGGAA